rnacentral:rRNA from 1 species
GAUGAACGCUGGCGGCGUGCCUAAUACAUGCAAGUCGAGCGAACGGACGAGAAGCUUGCUUCUCUGAUGUUAGCGGCGGACGGGUGAGUAACACGUGGAUAACCUACCUAUAAGACCGGGAUAACUUCGGGAAACCGGAGCUAAUACCGGAUAAUAUUUUGAACCGCAUGGUUCAAAAGUGAAAGACGGUCUUGCUGUCACUUAUAGAUGGAUCCGCGCUGCAUUAGCUAGUUGGUAAGGUAACGGCUUACCAAGGCAACGAUGCAUAGCCGACCUGAGAGGGUGAUCGGCCACACUGGAACUGAGACACGGUCCAGACUCCUACGGGAGGCAGCAGUAGGGAAUCGUCCGCAAUGGGCGAAAGCCUGACGGAGCAACGCCGCGUGAGUGAUGAAGGUCUUCGGAUCGUAAAACUCUGUUAUUAGGGAAGAACAUAUGUGUAAGUAACUGUGCACAUCUUGACGGUACCUAAUCAGAAAGCCACGGCUAACUACGUG